UGUGACUGAGCAAGCUGCAAAGGAAGCCAGAGAGGAACUUGGGCUCUGUGAAGUCCUGGCAUCUGAUCAGUGCCUGAGCUGAAGCAGGCUGCAUUACCCAGCCUGGCUCCCCUGCACAAGGAAGGCUGCAGAAGACACAUCAAGCUGGCAUCCACAAGCCAGCAGAGCAGCACAGAGGAUUCUUCUUGCCUUUCUCUGCAAAAUGAGAACUCAUCCCUCCUUCUGGACCAGUUGGAAAAGUUACCAAAGCAAACUCCCUGCUUUUGCAGAAUACUGCUCUGACAAAGUAGACCUUGGGAAUCAGCCAUCACGGACAGCACCAGCUGGGAUCGGUCCUCUUUCCAUCACUGAUAUUAUAUAAACAUGUUGCUACAGAUUUACGUACAGCACAAGAGAACUAAACUUUCAAGAAGGCUGAGCUGCAGGCUCAACAAAGAAAACGGUGAUAGCAGAGGGUAGGUAACAAGGUGCUGAAUACAAGAGAAGCGAAAUGUUUAGAGAACUGGUGCGUGGGUUGCUGCCCUGCUGCCUGGUGAGCCCAUGGAAAGACUGGGUAUGCUUCUGCAUCUGGGAGCAGCUCCUUGCGUCAGAGCAACAUAGUGAGAAUGACCUCCAUGUCAGGUAGGCAGGUAGAGGGGGGCACACGCCAGCUGUGCUGACAUUCCUCACACUGAUUCAGCUGGGAGGUUAUUUCAGAACACCUGACAUUAUCAGAGAGCUCCUACCAGGCUUUCGGAUGAGGGUGGGUGCAACCAAGCCAACCCAGGGGAUUCUUGCUAUUGCUUAAAUUGACAGCAUAAAAUGGUGAAAAAGUUCAAGAAAGAGCGGAACACCCGUAACAAAAACAUUACAUUGGACAGAUGAUAAAGAAUUUUUAUUAUAGCUAACAGUGAACAGGAACCAAUCUCUGCACUGAAGCAGAAAAAGCAGUGAGCAAACAUGGGAACAGUGACUGACUGCAGACAUGCUGAAAUCAUUAAAAGCCAUGACAAGAAAAGUAUAGGCACCUUAUGCAAGAUUUAUGAAAGCUGCCUGAAGAAGGCUAUGCAAACUCUGCCAGAGAGAAUUAAGCAAGAAUUACCUAAAAACGUAUGUAAACAAGGUAUAGUGGAAGAGAAAGAGGCAACAGGAACACUGUGGGAAGUAACCUAGACAUCGGGUCAGAAACCACAGCAUCAGCACUUUGCCCUACAGCAGCGAUCAUGAGGAAAGGACAUUGAAGAACAAGUGCACGCCUCCUCCAGUAAAUCAAGUUUUCUGCUCAUGUACGUCACAGAAUGCUGCAGCUAAGAGGAUCUCAUGUAUUUUUCACCCUGAUGUGCUGUCUGUGCUUUAGCUGUCUGUGCUUUAGCUGUGCCUAGCUUUAGCCAGGAACAAAAAGGUGGAAUAAAAUGUGACAUACCUGUGCCAAAGGAACAACCUGAAAGACUGAGAAAUAGGGUUCAGCAAACUACAAGUGCUCAAGAGCACAGGCACCUGAGCCUCUUUUCAAACCCCCAGUUUCAGAAACCUUAUUAAUGCAUUAGCCAGAGAGAACUCAUAAGGUGAAAGACACGUGUUACAUUUUUCUUCUAAUAUAUGCUCUGAUCAAAAACUGAGAUGAAAUUUCUCUGCUUUAAUUGGCAGCAC
ensembl:lncRNA